GGCUUUUAAGGUCCAGUUGCAGUUCCAAGUCUUAUACUUAAUCAUACACAUGACAUCAAGUCAUAUUUGACUCCAAAACACUAACCAAGCUUCUUCUUGCUUCUCAAAGCUUUGAUGGUGUAGCCAAAGUCCGUAUGAGUCUUUGGCUUUGUAUCUUCUAACAAGGAAACACUACUUAGGCUUUUAAGAUCCGGUUGCGGUUCUAGUUCUUAUACUCAAUCAUACACAUGACAUCUAGUCAUAUUUGACUCCAAAACA
rnacentral:sRNA from 1 species